CACGUAGGAGGCAAACGUUAUCCGGAUUUACUGGGCGUAAAGCGCAUGUAGGUGGUUCUGUAAGUAGGGCGUGAAAGCUCCCGGCUCAACUGGGAGAGGCUGUUCUAAACUACAGAGCUAGAGGAUGGUAGAGGGAGGUGGAAUUCCGGGUGUAGCGGUGGAAUGCGCAGAUAUCCGGAGGAACACCAGUGGCGAAAGCGGCCUCCUGGUCCAUUCCUGACACUCAGAUGCGAAAGCUAGGGUAGCAAACGGGAUUAGAUACCCCCGUAGUCCCU
rnacentral:rRNA from 1 species